GUGGUGCUUUUGGGCAUCUGGCCACCAGCAAGCGGUGCCCCAUGAAAUCCUGGGCUGGGGCCGUUGCUCCACAGCCUUUGGGCUCCAAGAAGAAGGAGAAUCUGGAACCGAGGAGACCCCAGGACUUCCAGACUCCAACGUUCUUUAAUGAGGCUGUCAGAGAGCAGGAACUAGAACCGAGGCAAGAGGUGCAGCAGAGAAAUGCUGUUCCCCAGAUGCACCCAGUGAGUUGCCAAGGGAAGAGGCAGAGACCCUGGCAGGAGCCUGAGGAUUUGCAUGCCUUCAUGAGGCAACCCACCCGCCCGAUGCCUGUCCAAACGUCCAAGAGGAGACCUGUCCUAGGCCCUGUUCUCAUGGGUCAGCCACUGGCCAAGAUCCCCAAGAAGAGAUGACUCUGCCCUUGAAAUGACUGCUUGUGGACCCAAGACGCGAGGUGGACGCUAAUGCCUCACCCACCCAGUUGUGCAGACCUUCUGCCUGGAGGCCCUUCUCAUGGCCGAGUCGACAGCCAGCAGGCCUGAUGGUGUCCC
rnacentral:lncRNA from 1 species